GGGAGAGAGAGAGAGAGAGAGAGAGAGAGGAUGAGAGAGAUAGAGUGAGAGAGAGAGAAAACGCACAUUCAACAUGAUCGUUAGUUUAAAACUCUCCCCGCCACAUUUCCAGGUACAAUACGAAACAUCUUUGAUCCACCUCUCCUGCGGCCUUGAGUAGUUGUUGCCCGGAGGCGGCAUUGCCGACAGCCACGUCGGUGAGCACCCGUACCCAUUUGUCUGUAUGUAUGUGGCCCCGUCCUCUCCCGCCGCCCGCCCACCUCCCCUGCCUGUCCGCUCGGUACAUGGACGUGAAGUGUUGCCCCGCAUCGAUUGAGGGCCCUGAGUAGAAUGCGAGUCAUGGGGCAGGGCCAGCACGCACCCACCACCCCCACCUCCAGCAGGUGGUGGCAUUGUUCGGUUUGAGGGAGGACGAGGGUGGGGGGGGGGGGGGGGGGGGAGUGGGGGCUUCAGGCAGGAGCGCCAUCUUUGGCUAGUGGAAGUCAGUCGGAAUCCCGUCACAGUGUAGUGGCUCCUUUUUUUCCUCUUUGUGUUUUUUUUUUUUUUUUUUUUAAGAGCUGACCAGGAUCUCCAUGAUGUGAUCAAGGUCGUUCAGGUCCGUCCUUAAACUGG